rnacentral:rRNA from 1 species
CUCCUUUUAGUUAGCGGCGGACGGGUGAGUAACACGUGGGCAACCUGCCUGUAAGACUGGGAUAACUUCGGGAAACCGGAGCUAAUACCGGAUAAUAUAUAGGACCACAUGGUCUUAUAUUGAAAGAUGGCCUCGGCUAUCACUUACAGAUGGGCCCGCGGCGCAUUAGCUAGUUGGUGAGGUAACGGCUCACCAAGGCAACGAUGCGUAGCCGACCUGAGAGGGUGAUCGGCCACACUGGGACUGAGACACGGCCCAGACUCCUACGGGAGGCAGCAGUAGGGAAUCUUCCGCAAUGGACGAAAGUCUGACGGAGCAACGCCGCGUGAACGAUGAAGGCCUUCGGGUCGUAAAGUUCUGUUGUUAGGGAAGAACAAGUACCGUUCAAAUAGGGCGGUACCUUGACGGUACCUAACCAGAAAGCCACGGCUAACUACGUGCCAGCAGCCGCGGUAAUACGUAGGUGGCAAGCGUUAUCCGGAAUUAUUGGGCGUAAAGCGCUCGCAGGCGGUCCUUUAAGUCUGAUGUGAAAGCCCACGGCUCAACCGUGGAGGGUCAUUGGAAACUGGGGGACUUGAGUACAGAAGAGGAGAGCGGAAUUCCACGUGUAGCGGUGAAAUGCGUAGAGAUGUGGAGGAACACCAGUGGCGAAGGCGGCUCUCUGGUCUGUAACUGACGCUGAGGAGCGAAAGCGUGGGGAGCGAACAGGAUUAGAUACCCUGGUAGUCCACGCCGUAAACGAUGAGUGCUAAGUGUUAGAGGGUUUCCGCCCUUUAGUGCUGCAGCUAACGCAUUAAGCACUCCGCCUGGGGAGUACGGUCGCAAGACUGAAACUCAAAGGAAUUGACGGGGGCCCGCACAAGCGGUGGAGCAUGUGGUUUAAUUCGAAGCAACGCGAAGAACCUUACCAGGUCUUGACAUCCUCUUGCCGUCCCUAGAGAUAGGGAGUU